GACGUAGGGGGCCAGCGUUGUUCGGAAUUACUGGGUGUAAAGGGUGCGUAGGUGGCGUGGUAAGUCGGGUGUGAAAUUUCGGAGCUUAACUCCGAAACUGCAUUCGAUACUGCUGUGCUUGAGGACUGGAGAGGAGACUGGAAUUUACGGUGUAGCAGUGAAAUGCGUAGAGAUCGUAAGGAAGACCAGUGGCGAAGGCGGGUCUCUGGACGGUUCCUGACACUGAGGCACGAAGGCCAGGGGAGCAAACGGG
rnacentral:rRNA from 1 species